rnacentral:rRNA from 1 species
GUGAACGCUGGCGGUAGGCCUAACACAUGCAAGUCGAACGGCAGCACAGUAAGAGCUUGCUCUUACGGGUGGCGAGUGGCGGACGGGUGGGGAAUACAUCGGAAUCUACUUUUUCGUGAGGGAUAACGUAGGGAAACUUACGCUAAUACCGCAUACGACCUACGGGUGAAAGCAGGGGAUCUUCGGACCUUGCGCGAUUGAAUGAGCCGAUGUCGGAUUAGCUAGUUGGCGGGGUAAAGGCCCACCAAGGCGACGAUCCGUAGCUGGUCUGAGAGGAUGAUCAGCCACACUGGAACUGAGACACGGUCCAGACUCCUACGGGAGGCAGCAGUGGGGAAUAUUGGACAAUGGGCGCAAGCCUGAUCCAGCCAUACCGCGUGGGUGAAGAAGGCCUUCGGGUUGUAAGGCCCUUUUGUUGGGAAAGAAAAGCAGCAGGUUAAUACCCCGCUGUUCUGACGGUACCCAAAGAAUAAGCACCGGCUAACUUCGUG